CCUACCGCUGGCAGCAGUGGGGAAUAUUGCACAAUGGGCGAAAGCCUGAUGCAGCGACUCCGCGUGGAGGAUGAAGGCCUUCGGGUCGUAAACUCCUGUCUGGGGGGAUGAACACUGACAGUACCCCCGGAGGAAGCCCCGGCUAACUACGUGCCAGCAGCCGCGGUAAUACGUAGGGGGCGAGCGUUGUCCGGAAUUACUGGGCGUAAAGCGCGCGCAGGCGGCUUGUUAAGUCAGGUGUCAAAAUGCGGGGCUCAACCCCGUAUCGCACUUGAAACUGGCAGGCUUGAGUGCAGGAGAGGGAAGUGGAAUUCCUAGUGUAGCGGUGAAAUGCGUAGAUAUUAGGAGGAACACCAGUGGCGAAGGCGACUUCCUGGACUGUAACUGACGCUCAAGCACGAAAGCUAGGGGAGCAAACAGGAUUAGAUACCCUGGUAGUCCUAGCCGUAAACGAUGGGUACUAGGUGUUGGGGGUGACAAUCCCCCAGUGCCGCAGUUAACGCAUUAAGUACCCCGCCUGGGGACUACGGCCGCAAGGCUGAAACUCAAAGGAAUUGACGGGGGCCCGCACAAGCAUCGGAGCAUGUGGUUUAAUUCGAUGCAACGCGCAGAACCUUACCAGGGCUUGACAUCCUCUGAAGCUAUAAGAGAUUAUAGUGUCCCUUCGGGGCAGAGUGACAGGUGGUGCAUGGUUGUCGUCAGCUCGUGUCGUGAGAUGUUGGGUUAAGUCCCGCAACGAGCGCACCCUUAUCCUCAGUUGCCAUCACUUUGCGUGGGCACUCUGGGAGACUGCCGGUGACAACCGGACGAAGGUGUGGAUGACGUCAAAUCAUCAUGCCCCUUAUGUUCUGGGCUACACACCUGCUACUAUGGCCUGAACCACCGCGCAUGCAAACGGAGCGAUCCGGAGCCAAUCUCUU
rnacentral:rRNA from 1 species